rnacentral:sRNA from 1 species
UUGCCUUAGGGAUAGCAGUGGAAAGCCCGCAGCGAACCGCGCAUAAGCGCGGGAGCGAGGACUUGGAACGCAUAGCCCGACCCCGA